GAAAGUGAAAUCUGGUUUGCUGAGUCAAAGAAGUAUGAAGACUACCAAAAAAACGUUGAGGUCCCAUCUGUGUCUUCUCCCAAAGAGAAUAAUUACAAUUUUUCUGCAUAUGGAAGGAAAGAUAGAUAGCUUUGAAAGUGUAAAGAAGAAAUGUGAUAAGCACAAAAUAGAGAGUAUCAAGCAGUGGCAAGGAUAAACAGACAGAGCUCAGGUAGCAUCAGUUUCUGUCACAAGGUCUUUUAGACCUUAUUUGUGCUGCUUUUGUCACAACAUUUGUAGGCUGCAGAGAGGCUCUAGGAUACUUAACUAACCAACCAAAGAAACUAUGCAUUUGAGGCAUAAGCUUAUAUGCUUAUGGAAAGUCUGAAGGUAAGACAGGUGAAAGAGUGAUCUGCACAUCUUAGUGAACCCUGCCUGAAUAUCUAAUAGCACCUGAGAUACAUUGGAGCUUCUGGUGUCCGAGACCAGAGCCAUGACUAAUCCAGUUGAGCCUAUUCCUUCCCAUAUCUGGAACCACUGCUGCAGAGUUAACACCUCUCGGUCAUUGACACUGAGGUUAAAGUAGCUUAUCCAGAAAUAGUUUCUGUACAAAAAUGCAACGGCCUGUAUCACAGUUUUAUACUUCAGAAUAUUAGACUUUAUUUAAAAAAAACCUGUAAUGUUUCAAACCUGUUGUUCAUUGUUUGGUAUGGAAAAAGAAGAGCUUGAGGAGAAACAUCUAAAUUACAGCCUACAGCAAUGUUAGUCUCUUACACUACUUUAUUUCAAAGUAGUCAGCCCUGUGCUCCUAAUCAUGAAGAAAGCUGCAACUGCUCAUCUACAUCUGAGUUUUCAGCUGAGUGCUGUAAAAUACAUUAGCAUUGCCACCUGGUUGAGUCAGGAAAAGAGAACUGGGAAAGUUCUCUGUUUGUGAUGAUAGGCAGACUGUACUUUAAUACUGAGUUGAAUAAGAGGAAACCUCCCAGGGAAAAUUCCUGAGAAUUCCUUUUCUUGAGACUGAAGGAGAAAGGUAUUAGAAAUUCACCAGAUCUUCUGGGACUCGUGAUAAGAUGCUAUUAGCAGUCAAGAUAAAGCUCCCACAAGAGAAGAAGGGAUUGUGUUAUUCCACUGAGCUCGAAGCUUCUCUAAAGACUAAGGCCUUUUUUGAAGCCUCGUGAUCAGGAGCCUGGAGCUGCUGCCUUGAGCAAUGAUACGACCUCUCUGAUCAAGGUAGAUAGGAGGCAUCUUGGUACAGAACAUAACUUCUCAGCUCCUACUGAAUUCUGCUGAAUGAAAAUAGACAAACUCUACCUCGGUUCCAUGAGGAUUCCAAACUCAGCAAGAGCUAGAGGAAGGUAAGGCUGUACCUCAAAAGAAAAAAGAAAGGUGCGUCUCUGUUUCUCUGCCUUAUAUACAGCCAGCUCCUCCCCUCGCAUGUGCAAAGUACAGAUGGAUCCUCAAUUCGUCACACAGCAGCUGCCUGGGAUUUGUUUUCCCUUUAAACUUCUCCUGGACAAAAGAAUGUCAUAAAGAAUCGAUGUCUGCCUCCAGAGGCAGAGUUUGGUGCACAUGUGAAUGGAAAUAACUGAGCAAUGCCUGGAUGCAGCAUCAGUUACUAUGGAAGGAAAGUGCUGCUUGGAGAAUGCUAUGGAGAUAUCAAAUCUUGGCAAGAUAAAUAAAAGCCACAUGGCUGUAGAGAAGAAAGUAAAGGCUGGAAAGGUAGCAUUAUAGCAUUACUUGUGUGUGUUAUACUCUUCCAGAGAAAUGAAAAUGUGCGCUGGUGGCCAUCUUGGAUUUUCUGAUACAUAUAUUUAAUGGAAAACUACCAUUACUAUUUGCUAUUGGAAUAUUUCUAUUCAUAGCAAAACUUUGCCUGGAAAUGUGUGUAUGCAGUGUUGUUAAUUGAUUUGGGUAAAUUGCUCAGUCUGCUCUCUAUUGCCUAUUUUGUCUCAAGUACUUGUUUUUCAAGAUGAUACUUUCUGACAUAAACUGGAGUGAAGGAGGAAGGCCCCUCAUGGCUGUUCUCCUUUACUAUGUGUUGGGAACUGCAGUGAGUGCUGGUCUGUUUUCAGGCAGAAGACCUCAGCCCCUUGCCCUUGGAGAAAGAACCCCUUUUGUGAAGCCCCAAUACUGCAGAGUGCUGUCUUCUGGGGCCAGCACUGGGGUGGAGAAGGAUAAAACAAGGUAAAGGGGGGUGGCAAAAACCUGCCACCUUGCUAGGAAGAUAUGCUGAAUACUGCAACUGAAUCUCUCAUGUAAUAUGGCAAUAAUGGUCCUAUAAGAAGCAGCACACAAACUGAGUAGUCAGGAUAAGCCCUGUUAACAAGUUCUGCUCCAUAAUUAUUCAGUCAAUAUGCCAUCAGAUUAUAAAAAUAACUUUUUCAUGAUGGUUUUUGUGCCCACACUGUCACAGAGUGCUACUGUUUUUCUCUAACUGAAGAUCGUAGAAUCACAGAAACACAGAAUAUCCUGAGUUGGAAGGGACCCAUAAGGAUCACCGAGUUCAACUCCUGGCUCUAUAUGGCACCACACAAAAAUCAGACCAUAUGUCUGAGUGUUAUUCAAACACUUGUUGAACUCUGGCAAAUUCAGUGCCAUGACCACUUCCAUGGGAAGGCUGUUCCAGUGCCCAACCAUGCUUUAAAUGUAGAACGUUUUCCUAUCCCCCCAGCUGCCCCUACCCUGACAAAGCUCCGUGCUGUUCCCUUGGGCCCUGUUGCUGUCACAGAGGGCAGAGCUCAGUGUUGCUUCUCUGUUCCCUGUGAGGAGCUGUAUGUCACCAAAAGCCUCCUCUCAACUCCUCUGCUUUGGGCUAAACAAAUCCAGGGACCUCACCUGUGGUUUGCACAUCUUGCCUUCUGGACCUUUCAUUGUUUUCAUAGCCCUCCCUUGAACACUCUUCAGUAGUUUUAUGUCCUUUUUGUACUGUGGUGCCAGAUUUUCCAAAAUGCUGGUUGCUUGAGGGUUGACUUUUAAAGACAUGGAACACCUGUAGUUACAUGUAAAGUGAGAGAAGUUAGAACUAAGCUCAGCCUGCCUCAUUAUAUUCAGCCUUUUUGUCUGAAUGUUUGUCUUGCAAUCACUCUGAAAGCAUUUGCUGUUUGUUUGAAUGCAGAUGGCCGUGUGAAUAGGUUUGAGAAGUUGAGCAUUAUUUUCCUGUCUGACUUGUCUACACUCACUGUGAGGAAAACUUUCUUUAUUACUGGUACACCAGUUAAUUGACAGAACACAUCAAGAAUGACAGGAGCAGACAAUAAAAAGAAAGUAACCAAAGCAGAUAAUAGUCACUUUUCAACAGCAUCGGUGUCUUUCCCUGCCUAUAAAGGUGGGAUGUUCUGAAUGAGCUACUCACUACAAUAGAACCUAUUACGGGGAACUAUGUCUGCCCUCAUUAAGGUACCCU